AGUGAACGCUGGCGGUAGGCCUAACACAUGCAAGUCGAACGGCAGCACAGUAAGAGCUUGCUCUUACGGGUGGCGAGUGGCGGACGGGUGAGGAAUACAUCGGAAUCUACUUUUUCGUGGGGGAUAACGUAGGGAAACUUACGCUAAUACCGCAUACGACCUACGGGUGAAAGCAGGGGAUCUUCGGACCUUGCGCGAUUGAAUGAGCCGAUGUCGGAUUAGCUAGUUGGCGGGGUAAAGGCCCACCAAGGCGACGAUCCGUAGCUGGUCUGAGAGGAUGGUCAGCCACACUGGAACUUAGACACGGUCCAGACUCCUGCGGGAGGAAGCAGUGGGGAAUAUUGGACAAUGGGCGGAAGCAUGAUCCAGCCAUACCGCGUGGGUGAAGAAGGCCUUCGGGUUGUAAAGCCCUUUUGUUGGGAAAGAAAAGCAGCAGGCUAAUACCCCGCUGUUCUGACGGUACCGAAUAAAUAAGCACCGGCUAACUUCGUG
rnacentral:rRNA from 1 species